rnacentral:lncRNA from 1 species
GUCACUUUAGCCAGUGGUGCAAAUUUGCCAAGAUGGCUGGACUUCAACCCCAACACAAACAUGCUGCAGGGACUGCCAAUGACUGGGGAGAGCGGAGCAUACCUGCUGAGCAUAACUCCCUCUGGAAUAACGUGCACUCAGAGAGCUGCUGUAAAGUUCACCAUUCAUGUUCAGGACAGCGUUUUGUUCCUGGACACAGAGAACAGCUUGAACCACAUACCAAACAGGCACCAGUGAGUACUGUCAGCUGCUAAAGGCCUUGGCCCAAAUCUGAAUUUAAAAAUGAAACUGAAAAGUAAAAAAAGCAAGCCUGCUAGCAGUGGGGUGCUGAUGCUCCAGAUGGCUGUUGACAAGGCAGCAUUCAGCCUCCCUGCCCCAGCUGGGAACUGGAGCUCUUCCUCUGUGGGAAGAGAGGCAAGGCCAACAAUUGCCUCUGCAAUACACAAGAUACUGCCUACUUCCACUGAUGGUACUGGGAUUCUUUCUUAAUAUAAGUAUUUCCAGUCUGAUAGAAACUGAAUGUAAAUCUUUUAACUGAAUUACUUUAAAGUCAGCAUCAUGAUGGUAGUAUUUGGUAGAUCUGAAUCAUGCUGCUGUGCUUUAGAUCAGCAAUGGAGACAAACAUAGCUCUUGCUGAAGUUAAAGGAGAGUAGAACAUUCUCAUAUCCAGUAGGAGGAAGUUUUGGAUGAAGAGGCAAGGUUGAGUGAUGUAUGCGCAUUGAAAGAUGGAUUAAAUUCAAAGGAGUAUCUUCACAAAAGAGGGUCGGGGGGGGGGGCAGAUAAACACCUUAAACAAUGCAAUUUUGGACUUUCAAUGCCAAUCCUGACAGGUGUGGGAAGGAAGUUCCCGUCACUUCUGCUGAAAUCAUUCUCUCUACUGGAGCCAAAACCCUGGAAGCACAGGAACGCCUCUACAUCGUGUACACGGUCGCUGAAUAUCUCCAUCUGAAUUCCUCCCUAGUAACCUUGUUGCAGUACACAGAUAUGGUGCACAGAAACUUGCAGAACCUGACUGUGCUGGCCAGAGACACUUCGCACAUUGACUUCACAGUGAACCGUUACGUAGGACUCUCCUGGCCCAUCAAGUGCGGAGAGCUUGCUGUGCUCCACGAAUUCAUUCAAGUCCUGCAACGCAACAUUGAUUCACAUCACCUCUCACAACUUCUAGGAUAUGAAAUUUCAGGCUGGAGAAUUCUUAGGAGAGGGAGUUACAAAAGAAAGUCUCCAAGACAACAGCGCAGGAAAUUAAUGAUCACACCAACGCCUACAAUGAAAGUAAUUAGAAUUACCCAGAGACCAGCUGCAGUUGCUCCCCAUCCUUUGUUCUCUGCUGUGCCAAGUCAUUUACUCUUACAGCUUGCUGUAUCAUCUACCCAGAGUUUAUAUAAAGAGAGCAUAGCAACACCAAGUUACAAGUUGCAGAAUAACAUCCAUCUUGUAAGUCAAGAAAGUUUAGUCACCUUAAAACUGGACUCAGCAUGGGACAUGCCAACUCACGAUCCAACAGUAGUUGUUAUGUUUGGAGACACUAGCUCUCCAGAUCUUUCACCUUCACUGGUUCCUAAAUCAAUGCUUCUCUUCACUGAGCUGGAAGUGCUGCCCACCAGAGCUCCUGGCAUGUCCUUGCUGCUCUGGCAACCUGAGACUCACGUGCCUCAGACAGACUCAUGUUUCCAUUCUCGUAAAACAGAAGUAUAUGGAUCCCAUCUCCUACAGGACAUCACUUCAAAUACAGACUUGUUUUCCAGGCCUAUUUACACUUUGAUGAUAAACACUCUACAUGAACGGCUUCAUGCCUUGGCAGAGGCACUUUCUUCAAAGACAGAACUUCAUGUAUUUUUGCCACAAGUAAUGUCAACACCAGAAAUGCCAGAUUACAGUGAUAAGGCAAAAAGCCACUUUCCAAAAUCUGAAAUGCUUUCUAGUGCAUCUCCGUCUCCAGAGAGGUUUCUGUCUCUAUCCCCAAACACUUUGCUAACAGCCACAGCUUCAUCUGAUUUCACAUUUCCCACCAAUUGUGUGUUUACAUCUUCAUCAGCAAGUAGUAGCCCAAGCCAGGAGCUAGCUCAUGGCCAUGAGCAGUUAUCUAAGUCUUCUGUGACUAUGCCAUCAUCCAGUGGGCUUCCAUUUAUUGAAGGGAAAAGCACAGUUUCUUCUGUGAUCCAAUCAGAAGCACAGAACCUCUAUCCCAAAUUGAAUGUCCGUACUGGAAUCUCAGCCUGCUUUUCUAGCUUUUUGUACAGCCCGUUCCCUGGUGAAGCUGAAAUAUCUUACGAAUCAAGUCUGCUCAUUCUGUCCCAUCCUGAUAGCACUCCAGUUCUUAGUCUUACACCACCAAAUAUACACUCUACUUAUGGUGGUAGCAUGCUCAAAACAAAGAUGCAGUCUGCAAGUAUUUUAUCCACAAAGGAAUUGCACUCGGGCAGAGAUCUGGGAACAGGAAUGAUUUUGCCAAACAUCACUGAGCCUACCCUGGAGUCACACAAAAUCUCAGAUGUCAUAGGUGAUGCCACAGAAGUACCCCUGGUGACUUUAUUUACUGCCACUUCUCGUCUGUUCAGCAGUGUGCCAGAGCUGAUUCAGACGCUACCACCAUCACACCAGGAUGCAAGCACCUUGCAAUUUCCUACCGAUGAAACACUACAGUCUACAGAAAGUAUAUGGAUUCUUCCUCCAUCUUCUAUUUCACAAGAGCUUCAGAAUAAAACCCCAGGUAAAAAAAAUGUUUUUCUACAUUUUGAUGUCAUCAUCCUCCUUAGUGAUCCUGCAAGACAUGUCUGGUCUCUGAUACCGGAACUCAUGUAG